rnacentral:rRNA from 1 species
UACGUAGGAUGCAAGCGUUGUCCGGAAUUAUUGGGCGUAAAGAGCGCGCAGGCGGUAUGACAAGUCAGAUGUGAAAGAGGCCGGCUUAACCGGCAAGGGUCAUUUGAAACUGUCAGACUAGAGUGCAGCAGAGGAUAGUGGAAUUCCCGGUGUAGUGGUGAAAUGCGUAGAUAGUCGGGAGGAACACCAGUGGCGAAGGCGACUAUCUGGGCUGCAACUGACGCUGAGGCGCGAAGGCUAGGGUAGCAAACAGG